GACGAACGCUGGCGGCGUGCUUAACACAUGCAAGUCGAACGGUGACCUUCGGAGCUUGCUUCGGAGUGAUCAGUGGCGAACGGGUGAGUAACACGUGAGUAACCUGCCCCAGACUCUGGGAUAACUUCGGGAAACCGUAGCUAAUACCGGAUAUGACACGGAGACGCAUGUCUAUCGUGUGGAAAGUUUUUCGGUCUGGGAUGGACUCGCGGCCUAUCAGCUUGUUGGUGAGGUAAUGGCUCACCAAGGCGACGACGGGUAGCCGGCCUGAGAGGGCGAUCGGCCACACUGGGACUGAGACACGGCCCAGACUCCUACGGGAGGCAGCAGUGGGGAAUAUUGCACAAUGGGCGCAAGCCUGAUGCAGCGACGCCGCGUGAGGGAU
rnacentral:rRNA from 1 species